AGCAGGCGUACUGUCUAAGAGAUGGCUGCUCCGCUUUUGCACCCUGCUCUAGGAGGAGGAGGUGGAUGUGGAGUAAGAGGCUGAGGAGGCGGUGACCGUGGCGGCGACAGCGCAUUUGGAUGUCUGCCCUAUCAACUUUCAAUGUUACUUUCUGCGCCUACCACGGUGAUCACGGGUAACAGGGAAUCAGGGUUCGAUUCCGGAGAGGGAGCCUGAGAAACGGCUACCACAUCCAAGGAAGGCAGCAUGCGCGCAAAUUACCCACUCCCGAUGCGGGGAGGUAGUGACGAUAAAUAACAAUACAGGACUCUUUACAGGCCCUUUAAUUGGAAUGAGUACACUUUUAAUCCUUUAACGAGGAUCUAUUGGAGGGCAAGUCUGUUGCAGAGCAACUGACCCGUGCGUGCUGCAGCUGAAACUCCACUAUUGCCUGCU